rnacentral:rRNA from 1 species
GUGAGGAAUUUUCCGCAAUGGGCGAAAGCCUGACGGAGCAAUGCCGCGUGAAGGAUGAAGGCCUAUGGGUUGUAAACUUCUUUUCUCAGAAAAGAAUUAUGACGGUAUCUGAGGAAUAAGCAUCGGCUAACUCUGUGCCAGCAGCCGCGGUAAGACAGAGGAUGCAAGCGUUAUCCGGAAUGAUUGGGCGUAAAGCGUCUGUAGGUUGUUUAAAAAGUAUUCUGUCAAAGAUUAGGGCUUAACCCUAGAUAGGCAGAAUAAACUUUUAAGCUAGAGUUUGGUAGAGGCAGAGGGAAUUCCCGGUGGAGCGGUGAGAUGCGUAGAUAUCGGGAGGAACACCAAAGGCGAAGGCACUCUGCUGGGCCAAUACUAACACUGAGAGACGAAAGCGAGGGGAGCAAAUGGGAUUAGAAACCCCGGUAGUCC